rnacentral:lncRNA from 1 species
AUGGCAUGCAUAAUGAAGGACCUGGCAGAUGAACUUGAUAUCUUGGAAGACAAACUGAAGGGCAACAUGAUGGACCAAGAACAUGUCCCUUAGAACACCAGAACACCUCUAGAACACCUGGCAAAGACUGUAGUGUGACUGAGAAUUCUAAGCUGGUAAUUAUUGCAUCUGGGGACUGGCAGCAAGAGAAAGGGAGCUGGCUCUAUUUGGUCCAGCAUAAUGUGACCUCCUUUAAGAGCUGAAGUAUGAUCUGAACAGUUGUUGUUGGGUCAAACUCAUUGGAUGUCUUGACCUACACUGCUUGAAAGACAAGUGGCUUUUCCCAAAACCAAGUUAUCCGGAAGUGGUUGCAUUUUGGAUUUAGCUCAGUUCCAUCACCUGAUGGGGGAAAAGGCUGGAAGUUCACCUGCCAAGCUGUCAUGGAUGGGACUUAUGGAGCGUAGAGACUUUAGUGUGUUUGUGUGGAGUGACGCAAAUGUUACUCCCAGAACAAUUUAACCCAGAACUUGGCACUGACACAAAUAAGGAGCAGUGGAAAGAGGUUCGCAAACAGGUGGUUGACAAUGCCUGUGAGGUGGUUACAUUGAAAGGGGUGGCAGAUUUGGUCAAGAGCAUAAUGGAGAAUCUAGAUGUAUAUACCAUUUCCAGCAUAAUUAAGGAUCUCUUUAUGAAAAAAGGAUGACAUCUUCCUCAGUGAGCCCUUCAUCCUGGAACAAACUGGAAUCUCAGAUGUUGCAGAGUGACUCUGACACCUGAGGAGAAGGCCAGCUUGAAGAAGAGUGUAGAUAGGCUC